rnacentral:rRNA from 1 species
CCUACGGGCGGCAGCAGUAGGGAAUAUUGCUCAAUGGGGGAAACCCUGAAGCAGCAACGCCGCGUGGAGGAUGAAGGUUUUCGGAUUGUAAACUCCUUUUGUUAGAGAAGAUAAUGACGGUAUCUAACGAAUAAGCACCGGCUAACUCCGUGCCAGCAGCCGCGGUAAUACGGAGGGUGCAAGCGUUACUCGGAAUCACUGGGCGUAAAGAGCGCGUAGGCGGGAUAGCAAGUCAGAUGUGAAAUCCUAGGGCUUAACCAUAGAACUGCAUUUGAAACUGUUAUUCUAGAGUAUGGGAGAGGUAGGUGGAAUUCUUGGUGUAGGGGUAAAAUCCGUAGAGAUAAAGAGGAAUACUCAUUGCGAAGGCGACCUGCUAGAACAUAACUGACGCUGAUGCACGAAAGCGUGGGGAGCAAACAGGAUUAGAUACCCGAGUAGUC